GUGGGGAAUAUUGGACAAUGGGCGCAAGCCUGAUCCAGCCAUGCCGCGUGAGUGAUGAAGGCCCUAGGGUUGUAAAGCUCUUUCACCGGUGAAGAUAAUGACGGUAACCGGAGAAGAAGCCCCGGCUAACUUCGUGCCAGCAGCCGCGGUAAUACGAAGGGGGCUAGCGUUGUUCGGAUUUACUGGGCGUAAAGCGCACGUAGGCGGACUUUUAAGUCAGGGGUGAAAUCCCGGGGCUCAACCCCGGAACUGCCUUUGAUACUGGAAGUCUUGAGUAUGGUAGAGGUGAGUGGAAUUCCGAGUGUAGAGGUGAAAUUCGUAGAUAUUCGGAGGAACACCAGUGGCGAAGGCGGCUCACUGGACCAUUACUGACGCUGAGGUGCGAAAGCGUGGGGAGCAAACAGGAUUAGAAACCCCUGUAGUCCC
rnacentral:rRNA from 1 species